rnacentral:misc_RNA from 1 species
GAUGAAGAACGCAGCGAAAUGCGAUACGUAAUGUGAAUUGCAGAUUUCAGUGAAUCAUCGAAUCUUUGAACGCGCAUUGCGCCCGCCAGUAUUCUGGCGGGCAUGCCUGUUCGAGCGUCAUUUCAACCAUCAAGCGCCUCGCUUGUGUUGGGGCCCUGCGGCUGCCGCAGGCCCCUAAAUCCAGUGGCGGGCUCGUCGUCGUACCGAGUGCAGUAAACAUCCUCGCUCAGGGAACCCGACGGGUGCCGGCCGUGAAACCCCCCCUCCUCAAGGUUGACCUCGGAUCAGGUAGGAAUACCCGCUGAACUUAAGCAUAUCAAUAAGCGGAGGA